rnacentral:rRNA from 1 species
CGCGGCCUAUCAGCUUGUUGGUGGGGUAAUGGCCUACCAAGGCGACGACGGGUAGCCGGCCUGAGAGGGUGACCGGCCACACUGGGACUGAGACACGGCCCAGACUCCUACGGGAGGCAGCAGUGGGGAAUAUUGCACAAUGGGCGAAAGCCUGAUGCAGCGACGCCGCGUGAGGGAUGACGGCCUUCGGGUUGUAAACCUCUUUCAGCACGGAAGAAGCGAAAGUGACGGUACGUGCAGAAGAAGCGCCGGCUAACUACGUGCCAGCAGCCGCGGUAAUACGUAGGGCGCAAGCGUUGUCCGGAAUUAUUGGGCGUAAAGAGCUCGUAGGCGGUUUGUCGCGUCUGCUGUGAAAGCCCGGGGCUUAACCCCGUGGUGUGCAGUGGGUACGGGCAGACUAGAGUGCAGUAGGGGAGACUGGAAUUCCUGGUGUAGCGGUGAAAUGCGCAGAUAUCAGGAGGAACACCGAUGGCGAAGGCAGGUCUCUGGGCUGUUACUGACGCUGAGGAGCGAAAGCAUGGGGAGCGAACAGGAUUAGAUACCCUGGUAGUCCAUGCCGUAAACGUUGGGCACUAGGUGUGGGGGACAUUCCACGUUUUCCGCGCCGUAGCUAACGCAUUAAGUGCCCCGCCUGGGGAGUACGG